rnacentral:rRNA from 1 species
CUAGCCGUAAACGAUGGGCACUAGGUGUGGGGGGUCAUCGACUCCCUCCGUGCCGAAGCUAACGCAUUAAGUGCCCCGCCUGGGGAGUACGGCCGCAAGGCUAAAACUCAAAGGAAUUGACGGGGGCCCGCACAAGCAGCGGAGCAUGUGGCUUAAUUCGACGCAACGCGAAGAACCUUACCAGGGCUUGACAUGCAGGGAAAAACGGCGGAAACGUCGUGUCCGCAAGGGCCCUGCACAGGUGG